UCUACGGCCAUACCACCCUGAACACGCCCGAUCUUGUCUGAUCUCGGAAGCUAAGCAGGGUCAGGCCUGGUUAGUACUUGGAUGGGAGAAAGGUAAAAUCCAUAUGAAAAGAUAAAAUACAGGAAGAA
ensembl:rRNA 5S_rRNA 5S ribosomal RNA